UCCUCUGUAGUUCAGUCGGUAGAACGGCGGACUGUUAAUCCGUAUGUCACUAGUUCGAGUCCAGUCAGAGGAGCCA
rnacentral:tRNA from 3 species